GCCAGCAACCAUAUAACCCUGCAACUCACAACUGGCAACCCACUGAAGCUAAGCAGGUGUGAGCCCGGUGAGUACCUGGAAGGGAGACCUCCUGGGAAAAACUAAGGUUGCUGCUAGAA
rnacentral:rRNA from 1 species